UGCUGGUAUGAUCGCAUC
rnacentral:snRNA from 1 species